AGAACGAACGCUGGCGGCAGGCCUAACACAUGCAAGUCGAACGCGACCUUCGGGUCGAGUGGCGCACGGGUGAGUAACGCGUGGGAAUCUGCCCUGUGGUACGGAAUAACAUCGGGAAACUGGUGCUAAUACCGUAUAUCCCCUGAGGGGGAAAGAUUUAUCGCCAUGGGAGGAGCCCGCGUAGGAUUAGCUAGUUGGUGAGGUAACGGCUCACCAAGGCGACGAUCCUUAGCUGGUCUGAGAGGAUGAUCAGCCACACUGGGACUGAGAUACGGCCCAGACUCCUACGGGAGGCAGCAGUGGGGAAUAUUGGACAAUGGGGGAAACCCUGAUCCAGCCAUGCCGCGUGUGUGAUGAAGGCCUUCGGGUUGUAAAGCACUUUCGCACGUGACGAUGAUGACGGUAACGUGAGAAGAAGCCCCGGCUAACUUCGUGCCAGCAGCCGC
rnacentral:rRNA from 1 species